UCACAUCCCCCCUUUCAUCUCUCAAACCCCUUCACCUCUGAAAACCCUAGAGACGCCGCCACCCUUUUCCACCGCCCUAAACCCGGUGACGCCAGUUCCAUUCACCACCAAAAAUAUACCACAGAACCUCCACGACCCCCUCUUUACAAAUCUCAGAUUAGUUUCCUUUGAAUCUUUCUAGAAACCCUCGAAUAUUAGAUCCAAAUUCAAGCCCUAAAAAUUCAAAACUCGAUACGGUCAAAACUGGUGGCAUGCAUCGACUCGGGAAGGCCGAUUCACUACAAAUUUGAUGUCAUUCUCUAUUUCUUGACAGAGAAAAGCGAUUGGUAUCAGUUUUGUAUGAAUCAAGUUAUCAAAUUUUAACUUCGAGUCUAGCCAGGUGAGUUCUAUUUUCUAUUGACUAGUUCAUUAUUCUUUUCUUCUCUUCUUCUUCUUCUUCUAGCCCUAAUCUAAUGGUCUGCUCUUGGUCUGCGUGUUCGAAUAAUUUCGAACUCAGUUUUGUUUUUCUUUUAUAUCAAUUUAAGGAUCGUUUGUUAGUUUUUCAGUUUUGUUUUGUUUUUUAAAAAAAUUAUAAUUAUGGUUAAAUUGCUGCACUUUUAUUUUUAGGUUAUGACAUGAUAAUUAUUAGCUUAUUUAGUCUUGGUUGAAUUUUAGUUAUUUUGUUUUUUUCUUUUAGCUUUCGGCCGAUUGAGAGCAUUUGGCUCUGAGGUCCGAUUGAAAUUGGAUAUGCUUUGCUAUCUUUCACAGAAUUGGAUUUGGACACUAAAAUUUGAAGCCCAAGACCUGGGCUAUACAAACCCACACCAAGUCAAAUUGGGUCAAUCUGACCCAUGUUUGGUCUGUUUCCUGAAAUAAUAACAGGGUCAUGGGGGAUAAUUUGGGUAGUCUAGCUUAAGGGAACCUCAAUAAUUGAAUUAGGUGGCUGCUAAUAAGUGAUAAGGUUUAGAAAGGGCACUACUGAAUUAAAUUAUAAGCACUAAGUUAGUGGAUAGUUAAAAAUGAAAAAAUUGACUGGUAGUGGAGAGAACACUAACUUAAUGCCUAUUUCAAGGGCUGUUGGGGACAGAAAUAAGGGGACAGAGUUUAGAGGUGAAAAAGAAAAGAAAAAGUUUGUAAAAGAGAACUUAAGAACAUAGAAAGAAUUCACUGGAGACACUGAUAGAGAUAGUUGAAAGAAAACUGAAAAGAAAACUCGGAAAUAACCUUAAGUUUCUUGCAUUUCCUUGUUGAAAGCCACUCAAAUUCUGUUUGGUUUUUGUGUUCUUGGUUACUUAGAAUUUCCGAAAGCUUCAAAGAUCCUGUAUCAGAUUUAAGAUAGCUCAAAUUCCAUUGUUUCUAAAAUCUGGUUUUGAGCUGUUGCUACUACUGUUACAUUGCUGAUCUGUUGUGUCGUAUCCAUUAACCCUCAUUUACUUCUUGUUUUCCUCUUAUUUCUCAGGUAUAUUACUUAAUUCCUCCUAAUGUAAAGUUUGCUUCAUGUCUGAUAUGGAAAACUGGAAGUUUAGAGCAUAAUAUCAGCUUGUUUCUUCUAUUAUAGUGUAGCUUUACUUUUUAUGAAACUAUGAGUGGUUGGUGGAUAUUCUCCCUCUUGGUGAUAGCACUCAUUGAGAGUUGAAUUUGGUUCAAGAAUUAGCAAAGAAAUUCAAUGUUCUGUUUAGUAUUUCAUAGUUAAAGCUUGGUCUUGUAUAACUGAAUCUUUUCAUGAUUCUAAACUCUUAUGGAGGUUCGUUUAACAUUAAGUUUAAUCAAGUUUGGAUAUAACUUGUAUCCCUUUUGCUUGGACUCUUAA
rnacentral:lncRNA from 1 species